rnacentral:rRNA from 1 species
UACGUAGGGCGCGAGCGUUGUCCGGAUUUAUUGGGCGUAAAGAGCUCGUAGGCGGCUUGUCGCGCGACUGUGAAAACCCGCGGCUCAACUGCGGGCCUGCAGCCGAUACGGGCAGACUAGAGUGCGGUAGGGGAGAUUGGAAUUCCUGGUGUAGCGGUGGAAUGCGCAGAUAUCAGGAGGAACACCGAUGGCGAAGGCAGAUCUCUGGGCCGUAACUGACG